UACAGAGGGGGCAAGCGUUAUUCGGAAUUAUUGGGCGUAAAGGGCGCGCAGGCGGUUUUUUAAGUCUGAUGUGAAAGCCCCGGGCUUACCCCGGGAAGUGCAUUGGAUACUGGGAGACUUGAGUACGGGAGAGGAGAGCGGAAUUCCUGGUGUAGGGGUGAAAUCCGUAGAUAUCAGGAGGAACAUCGGUGGCGAAGGCGGCUCUCUGGACCGAUACUGACGCUGAGGCGCGAAAGCAUGGGGAGCAAACAGG
rnacentral:rRNA from 1 species